CACAAGUUAGGCCUUGAAUGUACACCGCAUCUCGAACCGCACAAACCUCCACAAUCUAUGUCUUGCAUUAGCCUUCUAUUGCCGUCUCGCACAGUAAGCAACUCAUUAGGUAGCUGAAGUUCUUCAUCAUCUUCUUUUUUCAUUUCUAUCUCAUGCUCAGAUGAAACCUGCAUCAGAUUAGAGAGGCAUACUAGAAGCAACAAACCCAGCACGAAAAGGUUACACAAUGCCAAUGCAGGAUAUUGUAGCAGUUAUAUGAAAUGGAUUAUUGGUUGAUUAUUGAAUGAAUUGUGACUACAUUUCCUUGCUUUGUUGCAGAUUAUGCCAACUUUGCGGUCCUGAUCCGGUUGUUACGCAUUGCAGACCGGCGCCAGCAUACAACUAGCGGGCAAUGUUGUUCUGCAGCAUGUUGGCUUCCUGAAUAAAGCAGAAUUUAUGAUAGG
rnacentral:lncRNA from 1 species